rnacentral:rRNA from 1 species
UGGGGAAUUUUCCGCAAUGGGCGAAAGCCUGACAGAGCAAUGCCGCGUGGAGGUGGAAGGCCUACGGGUCGUCAACUUCUUUUCUCGGAGAAGAAACAAUGACGGUAUCUGAGGAAUAAGCAUCGGCUAACUCUGUGCUAG